rnacentral:rRNA from 1 species
GAUGAACGCUGGCGGCGUGCCUAAUACAUGCAAGCCGAGCGAACGGACGAGAAGCUUGCUUCUCUGAUGUUAGCGGCGGACGGGUGAGUAACACGUGGAUAACCUUCCUAUAAGACUGGGAUAACUUCGGGAGACCGGAGCUAAUACCGGAUAAUAUUUUGAACCGCAUGGUUCAAUAGUGAAAGACGGUUUUGCUGUCACUUAUAGAUGGAUCCGCGCUGCAUUAUCUAGUUGGUAAGGUAACGGCUUACCAAGGCAACGAUGCGUAGCCGACCUGAGAGGGUGAUCGGCCACACUGGAACAGAGACACGGUCCAGACUCCUACGGGAGGCAGCAGUAGGGAAUCUUCCGCAAUGGGCGAAAGCCUGACGGAGCAACGCCGCGUGAGUGAUGAAGGUCUUCGGAUCGUAAAACUCUGUUAUUAGGGAAGAACAAAUGUGUAAGUAACUGUGCACAGCUUGACGGUACCUAAUCAGAAAGCAACGGCUAACUACGUG